rnacentral:rRNA from 1 species
GACAGAGGGUGCUAGCGUUGUUCGGAAUUACUGGGCGUAAAGGGCGCGUAGGCGGCUCGUUUAGUCGGGUGUGAAAUCCCGGGGCUCAACCCCGGAAAAUGCAUUGAAUACUGCUUAGCUGGAGGUUUGGAGGGGGGACUGGAAUUCUCGGUGUAGCAGUGAAAUGCGUAGAUAUCGAGAGGAACACCAGUGGCGAAGGCGGGUCCCUGGACAACACCUGACACUGAGGCACGAAAGCUAGGGGAGCAAACAGG